AGUGCUAGUUAUAGUGCUAGUUAGUGAUAGUUACCAGUUGUUUGAUGUCACUAAAGUAGUAGUUAGUGAUAGUGAUAGAUAGUGAUAGUUAGUGCUAGUUAUAGUGCUAGUUAGUGAUAGUUACCAGUUGUUUGAUGUCACUAAAGUAGUAGUUAGUGAUAGUUAUAGUUAGUGAUAGUGAUAG